GGCUGCGAGCCUCUGGAUGUAGUCUUGUGGGAGGUUAAGAGAUAGGAGGCAAGCAAUGAGGAAGUCCCAUCUUACAGAAUCAAAAGCCUUGGCUAUGUCCAGUUUUAAGGCAGCCGAGAGAGAAGAGCCGCUUGAGCUUGAGAGCAGGAAAAGCGGUCUGUUCGGAUCAUGUCAGCAACAGAGGAGAUCAUCAGGGGGGUAGUUUUCGGAGUAGGCGGCCCAAGGAUGUUCAAGAAGUGCGCCACAGCAAGGUUACCAAUAUCUUCAGAAACUGGAGUUUUUCAAGGAGGGCUUUCUCUGCGGCAAAGUUAUCUGAUGUGGGUUGACGUAG